UACGGGGGGAGCAAACGUUGUUCGGAAUUACUGGGCGUAAAGGGCGCGUAGGCGGCCGCCUAAGCCAGACGUGAAAUCCCUCGGCUCAACCGGGGAACUGCGUCUGAUACUGGGUGGCUUGAAUCCGGGAGAGGGAUGCGGAAUUCCAGGUGUAGCGGUGAAAUGCGUAGAUAUCUGGAGGAACACCGGUGGCGAAGGCGGCAUCCUGGACCGGUAUUGACGCUGAGGCGCGAAAGCCAGGGGAGCAAACGGG
rnacentral:rRNA from 1 species